AUUGAACGCUGGCGGCAUGCCUUACACAUGCAAGUCGAACGGUAGAGGGAGCAACCCCUCGAGAGUGGCGAACGGGUGAGUAAAGCAUCGGAACGUGCCCAGUAGUGGGGGAUAGCCUGGCGAAAGCCGGAUUAAUACCGCAUGAGACCUACGGGUGCACGGGGGGGAUCGCAAGCCCUCUCGCUAUUGGAGCGGCCGAUGUCAGAUUAGGGAGUUGGUGGGGUAAAGGCCUACCAAGCCGACGAUCUGUAGCUGGUAUGAGAGGACGACCAGCCAAACUGGGACUGAGACACGGCCCAGACUCCUACGGGAGGCAGCAGUGGGGAAUUUUGGACAAUGGGCGAAAGCCUGAUCCAGCCAGGCCGCGUGCGGGAAGAAGGCCUUCGGGUUGUAAACCGCUUUUGUCAGGGAAGAAAUCCUUUGAGCUAAUACCUCGGGGGGAUGACGGUACCUGAAGAAUAAGCACCGGCUAACUACGUGCCAGCAGCCGCCGUAAGAC
rnacentral:rRNA from 1 species